UGUCGUAUAAAGCUGUCUUUGUGAAUCGUGGCACGUGGUUUAAUUUAACUCGUGGUAUUAAUUCAUUCGUCUCUCUCUCGGCCACCCACUCCAUUCCUGCUUAUAAAUUUGGGAAAGCCUGAGUCGCACUCGAAAUAGUCUAGGAGCUCUCGCUAAAAGAUGGACGGCGACGAAACACGGAUUGGAUUUCAAAUUGGAUCACAGCUUUAAUUUCCAGAAUACAAUCGAUACCCCAACGUCAUGGUUCCAGCACUUGCGAUCGGAGGCACUUUGGACCACUUGAUGACGAAAGCACUCACACGCGUGCGCACACACGGGCAUGCAUAUACACACGUAGUUAGAGGAAGUCCAUGCACGUGAGAUUGGGAGGGAUAUAUACAUACUCCAAGACAGAUAUAUAUGCGUGUGUGCGCGCGUGAAUGUUACUUGGAGAGGAAUUCGCGAUUCGGGGUCCACGAGGGUGAUGAGCGAGGAUCCGUGCGAUUACGAGCCGGCGGAUGCGGUCCCGAUGAGCCUUCGCAGUGGACUGUUUCUCUGGAGACUACGCGACAAUAUCCUGCACUACGUGUUGCCUCUAUAGUUAGAUACACCUCGCGCCCCACUCACCCCGGAGCUCGUCGAUGAGAGCACCGGGCAUCCGGAUCGGUAUCGAGAAGACGUGAUUACGAGGAGGAUACACAUGCUGCUGUUCAUGCAUCAUCAGUCUUCGUCUCGCGAUUCAUCGAAAAGAGUCGAGGCUCACAUUGAAGGAUAAAAACAGAUUUUUUCUUGCCAUGAAUUAUCAAGUAAUUAAAAAGCAAUAUUUUAAGAUCGAUUCUCCAGGUUUGCGUUAAAAAUCUGCUAAAUAAAUAUGCAUAAUUUUUUAUACAUCCACUUUCUGUGUGAAAUUUACAUCCUCCCUCUUUUGUACAUGUAAUAUGAAUUUUCCAGAGCAUUCGCAAUUAGUAGAUAUAUUUUAUAGCAUUAUAUCAUUUUUUAUGUUUAAUUAACUUAUAUUAUUUUAUAAUUAUUGAAUAUAAUUAUAUAGUGCAUUAUAGCCUAAAAACAGAUAAUAAAAGAAAAGAUUUUGUCAAGUAGUAGUAAGAUACAGCACUUUCAUUAGCGCAUGCUUCACGGUCUAGUUUCAUAUAAUUAUUCCAUAUAUCAUUGCAGAUGCAGAAAUUAACUCGGUACACAUUUACUAAGACAUUUUGUGGUAUAAAUAAACGAGAGGAAAUUUGAAUGUUCUACUUAUAGAAGUUCUUUCGUAUAAUACAUAUAAUGGGACUAACGGCAUGUGGCAUUUUGUCAUCCCGUAUACAUCUGAUAAAAAAUUUGGCCCGUUCUGCAAUAUCUUCUUGACAGAAAACACUUACUGCCAACUUGAACAACGCAGGAUAAUACGAUGAAUUAUGAGAUAGCAGCUGUGCGUGCUAUUCUGUCAUCGUUCAGAAUGCUUUUAUAGUCGAUUAGAUUAGCUGUAACAAAUUUUUGCAAAACGAAUACAUUGGUUUUAAGUGAAUGUUAUGCACGAAUAUAUAUAAGUAGGAUACUAAGUGCAAGUCUCUCUAGAGAUCCCGAAAUACGAUCACGAAGGAUAUAAUCGUACGAAUGCAUAACACUACUAUGCUGUUUCCAAUUUGACAUUGCGAUAAACAAAUUU